rnacentral:rRNA from 1 species
GUAUGCGAUCAUACCAGCACUAAAGCACCGGAUCCCAUCAGAACUCUGAAGUUAAGCGUGCUUGGGCGAGAGUAGUACUAGGAUGGGCGACCUCCUGGGAAGUCCUCGUGUUGCAUUCC